rnacentral:rRNA from 1 species
ACUACGGGAGGCAGCAGUGGGGAAUAUUGGGCAAUGGGCGCAAGCCUGACCCAGCAACGCCGCGUGAAGGAAGAAGGCUUUCGGGUUGUAAACUUCUUUUGACAGGGAAGAGUAGAAGACGGUACCUGUCGAAUAAGUCACGGCUAACUACGUGCCAGCAGCCGCGGUAAUACGUAGGUGGCAAGCGUUGUCCGGAUUUACUGGGUGUAAAGGGCGUGUAGCCGGGUUGACAAGUCAGAUGUGAAAUCCUGUGGCUUAACCGCAGAACUGCAUUUGAAACUGUUGAUCUUGAGUACUGGAGAGGCAGACGGAAUUCCUAGUGUAGCGGUGAAAUGCGUAGAUAUUAGGAGGAACACCAGUGGCGAAGGCGGUCUGCUGGACAGCAACUGACGGUGAGGCGCGAAAGCGUGGGGAGCAAACAGGAUUAGAUACCCUAGUAGUC